rnacentral:rRNA from 1 species
CGUACGCCAGUAUGUGUGGAGCCGUCCUUGAAAUACCACCCUUGUAGUGUUGAUGUUCUAACGUCGACCCCUUAUCGGGGUUGCGGACAGUGCCUGGUGGGUAGUUUGACUGGGGCGGUCUCCUCCCAAAGAGUAACGGAGGAGCACGAAGGUGGGCUAAUCACGGUUGGACAUCGUGAGGUUAGUGCAAUGGCAUAAGCCCGCUUGACUGCGAGAAUGACAAUUCGAGCAGGUGCGAAAGCAGGUCAUAGUGAUCCGGUGGUUCUGAAUGGAAGGGCCAUCGCUCAACGGAUAAAAGGUACUCCGGGGAUAACAGGCUGAUACCGCCCAAGAGUUCAUAUCGACGGCGGUGUUUGGCACCUCGAUGUCGGCUCAUCACAUCCUGGGGCUGAAGUCGGUCCCAAGGGUAUGGCUGUUCGCCAUUUAAAGUGGUACGCGAGCUGGGUUUAGAACGUCGUGAGACAGUUCGGUCCCUAUCUGCCGUGGGCGUUGGAAGAUUGAAGGGGGCUGCUCCUAGUACGAGAGGACCGGAGUGGACGAACCUCUGGUGUUCGGGUUGUGUCGCCAGACGCAUUGCCCGGUAGCUAAGUUCGGAAUCGAUAACCGCUGAAAGCAUCUAAGCGGGAAGCGAGCCCUGAGAUGAGUCUUCCCUGAUACUUUAAGUAUCCUAAAGGGUUGUCGGAGACUACGACGUUGAUAGGUCAGGUGUGUAAGUGCUGUGAGGCAUUGAGCUAACUGAUACUAAUUGCCCGUGAGGCUUAACCAUACAACACCCAAGGGGUUU